UACGGAGGGUGCAAGCGUUAUCCGGAUUUACUGGGUUUAAAGGGUGCGUAGGCGGAUUUGUAAGUCCGAGGUGAAAUCUCCGAGCUUAACUCGGAAACUGCCUUGGAUACUAUAAGUCUUGAAUGACGUUGAGGUUAGCGGAAUAUGUCAUGUAGCGGUGAAAUGCUUAGAUAUGACAUACAACAUCUAUUGCGAAGGCAGCUCACUAGACCUGAAUUGACGCUCAUGGACGAAAGCGUGGGGAGCGAACAGG
rnacentral:rRNA from 1 species